rnacentral:rRNA from 1 species
GAGUACUAUCCGGGAGACAGACUGCGGGUGCUAACGUCCGUAGUCAAGAGGAAAACAAUCCAGACCGCCAGCUAAGGCCCCAAAAUCAUAGUUAAGUGGGAAACGAUGUGGGAAGGCAUAGACAGCUAGGAGGUUGGCUUAGAAGCAGCCACCCUUUAAAGAAAGCGUAAUAGCUCACUAGUCGAGUCGGCCUGCGCGGAAGAUGUAACGGGGCUAAAACUAUGUGCCGAAGCUGCGGAUUUGACAUUAGUCAAGUGGUAGGGGAGCGUUCUGUAAGCCGAUGAAGGUGUAUUGAGAAGUAUGCUGGAGGUAUCAGAAGUGCGAAUGCUGACGUGAGUAACGACAAAACGGGUGAAAAACCCGUUCGCCGAAAGACCAAGGGUUCCAGUCCAACGUUAAUCGGGGCUGGGUGAGUCGACCCCUAAGGCGAGGCCGAAAGGCGUAGUCGAUGGGAAAAUGGUUAAUAUUCCAUUACUUCUGUGUAAUGCGAUGAGAGGACGGAGAAGGCUAAAUCAGCCUGGCGUUGGUUGUCCAGGUGAAAGGAUGUAGGCAUGUAUCUUAGGCAAAUCCGGGGUACUCUAUGCUGAGAUCUGAUAGCAAGCUGUACUUGUACAGCGAAGUGGUUGAUGCCAUGCUUCCAGGAAAAGUCUCUAAGCUUCAGUUACACAGGAAUCGUACCCGAAACCGACACAGGUGGUCAGGUCGAGUAGACCAAGGCGCUUGAGAGAACUCUGCUGAAGGAACUAGGCAAAAUGGUACCGUAACUUCGGGAGAAGGUACGCUGUUGUUGGUGAUGGAACUCGCUUCCUGAGCUGACGACAGCCGCAGAAACCAGGCCGCUGCAACUGUUUAUUAAAAACAUAGCACUCUGCAAACACGAAAGUGGACGUAUAGGGUGUGAUGCCUGCCCGGUGCUGGAAGGUUAAUUGAUGGGGUUAGCGUAAGCGAAGCUCUUGAUCGAAGCCCCAGUAAACGGCGGCCGUAACUAUAACGGUCCUAAGGUAGCGAAAUUCCUUGUCGGGUAAGUUCCGACCUGCACGAAUGGCAUAAUGAUGGCGGCGCUGUCUCCAGCAGAGGCUCAGUGAAAUCGAAAUCGCUGUGAAGAUGCAGUGUACCCGCGGCUAGACGGAAAGACCCCGUGAACCUUUACUGCAGCUUGACACUGAACUUUGACCUUACUUGUGUAGGAUAGGUGGGAGGCUUUGAAGCUGGAACGCUAGUUCCAGUGGAGCCGUCCUUGAAAUACCACCCUGGUAAUGUUGAGGUUCUAACUCUGUCCCGUGAUCCGGGACGAGGACCGUGUCUGGUGGGUAGUUUGACUGGGGCGGUCUCCUCCUAAAGAGUAACGGAGGAGUACGAAGGUGCGCUCAGCGUGGUCGGAAAUCACGCGUAGAGUAUAAAGGCAAAAGCGCGCUUAACUGCGAGACCCACAAGUCGAGCAGGUACGAAAGUAGGUCUUAGUGAUCCGGUGGUUCUGUAUGGAAGGGCCAUCGCUCAACGGAUAAAAGGUACUCUGGGGAUAACAGGCUGAUACCGCCCAAGAGUUCAUAUCGACGGCGGUGUUUGGCACCUCGAUGUCGGCUCAUCUCAUCCUGGGGCUGAAGCAGGUCCCAAGGGUAUGGCUGUUCGCCAUUUAAAGAGGUACGCGAGCUGGGUUUAGAACGUCGUGAGACAGUUCGGUCCCUAUCUACCGUGGGCGCUGGAAAUUUGAGAGGAUCUGCUCCUAGUACGAGAGGACCAGAGUGGACGAACCUCUGGUGUACCGGUUGUGACGCCAGUCGCAUCGCCGGGUAGCUAUGUUCGGAAGGGAUAACCGCUGAAAGCAUCUAAGCGGGAAGCCUACCUCAAGAUAAGAUUUCCCUAGGACUUUAUGUCCUCUAAAGAGCCGUUCGAGACUAGGACGUUGAUAGGUUGGAUGUGGAAGCAUAGUGAUAUGUGAAGCUGACCAAUACUAAUUGCUCGUGAGGCUUGACUAUACAACACCCAAGCAGUUG